GACGAACGCUGGCGGCGUGCCUAAUACAUGCAAGUCGAACGAAGCUGUUUUAACUGGUGCUUGCACCGACUUAAACAACUGAGUGGCGAACGGGUGAGUAACACGUGGGUAACCUGCCCCAAAGCGGGGGAUAACAUUUGGAAACAGAUGCUAAUACCGCAUAAUCACAGAAACCACAUGGUUUCUGUGUCAAAGAUGGUUUCGGCUAUCACUUUGGGAUGGAACCGCGGCGUAUUAGCUAGUUGGUAAGGUAAUGGCUUACCAAGGCAAUGAUACGUAGCCGAACUGAGAGGUUGAUCGGCCACAUUGGGACUGAGACACGGCCCAAACUCCUACGGGAGGCAGCAGUAGGGAAUCUUCCACAAUGGACGAAAGUCUGAUGGAGCAACGCCGCGUGAGUGAAGAAGGUUUUCGGAUCGUAAAACUCUGUUGUCAGAGAAGAACGUGUGCGAGAGUAACUGUUCGUGCAGUGACGGUAUCUGGCCAGAAAGCCACGGCUAACUACGUGCCAGCAGCCGCAGUAA
rnacentral:rRNA from 1 species